GGCGAGUGAAGCGGCAAAAGCUCAAAUUUGAAAUCUGGUACCUUUGGUGCCCGAGUUGUAAUUUGGAGAGUACCACUUUGGGACUGUACUUUGCCUAUGUUCCUUGGAACAGGACGUCAUGGAGGGUGAGAAUCCCGUGUGGCGAGGGUGUCAGUUCUUUGUAAAGGGUGCUCGAAGAGUCGAGUUGUUUGGGAAUGCAGCUCUAAGUGGGUGGUAAAUUCCAUCUAAAGCUAAAUACAGGCGAGAGACCGAUAGCGAACAAGUACAGUGAUGGAAAGAUGAAAAGAACUUUGAAAAGAGAGUGAAAAAGUACGUGAAAUUGUUGAAAGGGAAGGGCAUUUGAUCAGACAUGGUGUUUUGCGCCCCUUGCCUCUCGUGGGCUUGGGACUCUCGCAGCUCACUGGGCCAGCAUCGGUUUUGGCGGCCGGAAAAAACCUAGGGAAUGUGGCUCUGCGCCUCGGUGUAGAGUGUUAUAGCCCUGGGGAAUACGGCCAGCCGGGACCGAGGACUGCGAUACUUGUUAUCUAGGAUGCUGGCAUAAUGGUUAUAUGCCGCCCGUCU
rnacentral:rRNA from 1 species